rnacentral:rRNA from 1 species
GAAUGCAUCGAGAUUAAAGCUCCGGCGCCUAAGGAUGGGUCUGCGGCCUAUCAGGUAGUAGUGGGUGUAGCGUACCUACUAGCCUACGACGGGUACGGGUUGUGAGAGCAAGAGCCCGGAGAUGGAUUCUGAGACACGAACCCAGGCCCUACGGGGUGCAGCAGGCGCGAAAACUUUACAAUGCUGGCAACAGCGAUAAGGGAACCUCGAGUGCCAGGUUACAAAUCUGGCUGUCGAGAUGCCUAAAAAGCAUUUCAUAGCAAGGGCCGGGCAAGACCGGUGCCAGCCGCCGCGGUAACACCGGCGGCUCGAGUGGUAACCGUUAUUAUUGGGUCUAAAGGGUCUGUAGCCGGCCGGAUAAGUCUCUUGAGAAAUCUGGCAGCUUAACUGUCAGGCUUUCAGGAGAUACUGUCUGGCUCGAGGCCGGGAGAGGUGAGAGGUACUUCAGGGGUAGGGGUGAAAUCUUGUAAUCCUUGAAGGACCACCAGUGGCGAAGGCGUCUCACCAGAACGGACCUGACGGCAAGGGACGAAAGCUAGGGGCACGAACCGGAUUAGAUACCCGGGUAGUCCUAGCCGUAAACGAUACUCGCUAGGUGUCGGCCACGGUGCGACCGUUGUCGGUGCCGUAGGGAAGCCGUGAAGCGAGCCACCUGGGAAGUACGGCCGCAAGGCUGAAACUUAAAGGAAUUGGCGGGGGAGCACCACAACGGGUGGAGCUUGCGGUUUAAUUGGAUUCAACGCCGGG